AAAUAAUCAAGUAUUGAUUUGGUUAUUUCAACAAUCGAUUACCUUAUUUAUAAUGCAGUUUACAAAAAUUUACCACUAAAAGCGAUAAAAAGAUGUUAAAAAAAUAUUUUGCAUACUAUAUUAUGUAUUAUUGAAUUUUCAACGACCUCAAAUUUUCUCUCCAAUGUUUACGAUUUAUUUGAAUAAUUGUCACUUUGAACUCGUAUAAUUCAAGAAAAUCGUAAAACAGUGAAAAUGAAAAGUGUAAUAUGACAGAGAUUGAAAAACAGAUAUAUGUAGAGCAUAGUCAUGUACUGGAUGUACCAAUGCAGUGAAGUAAUAUAUGUGUUUGAAUCACGGAAAAAAGGGGGGGGGGGUUCUUUCUAUAUGAAGAUUCACAGACAUUUCGCUAGGAUACGUGCCCAUUUGAUAUAUAUCACAUAUAUCAGUGGGGUUGCAAUUCCACCAACUGAAGGUAAAUUGUAAAUGAGUCGGUAAAUUUUAUCCUUCGAUUAAUUAUCUGUACAUAUGUGUUUCCGCUUUUAAAUCAAAUUAAGAUAUAUAUAAAAAAAAAAAUGUAACUAAGAAAUAUAUGAACGGGUAAUAAAUUUGUCAUGAAAUAAGUUCAUGGGUCUUGAUUUUUACAACAUUUCAAUAUAUGAAGGGGUUGAAACACCAGCUGCGCUACACGUCUGUACCAACAAUCUACUUUUGAGACCCCCAUCCACUCUCCGUGGUCCUUACUACCUUGAACUUUAUAUAGCAUAUGUUGUUUUUGAAAAGAAAACGACCAUCCAAAUUUAAUGGGUAAAAAUGAAUAAAGUAGAAACACAUUGACGGUGUUGGCUAGUAGAGCUUUUUUUUUUUUACAAUAGGAAUUUUAAAUUGUCACUUUACAAUACUUGCAUUUCAAAGGUAUUCUUAAAAUAAAAUUGAGAAUGGAAAUGGGGAAUGUGUCAAAGAGACAACAACCCGACCAUAGAGCAGACAACAGCCGAAGGCCACCAAUGGGUCUUCAAUGCAGCGAGAAACUCCCGCACCCGGAGGCGUCCUUCAGCUGGCCCCUAAACAAAUAUGUAUACUAGUUCAGUGAUAAUGGACGUCAUACUAAACUCCAAAUUACACAAGAAACUAAAAUUAAAAAUGAUACAAGACUAACAAAGGCCAGAGGCUCCUGACUUGGGACAGGCGCAAAAAUGCUUUGUUUUCGUCUUGAAAAUGACUGACAUACUUGCCACUGAACGUAAAGCAAACAACAAUUAUCCAAUCGAUCUUUUAUGAGCUUAGUCAGGAAACAUGUAUCUGCGGAUUGUGGUUGCUGAUGUUUAAAAUAACUUCAUGAAUAAAACUGUAUUUUUUACUAUAGGGGAAGAUAUAAAUAUAAGACAAAUCUUAGCACAUGAUGUGUUUUGGUUACAAAAAUAUCUGGUAUGGAGCAAGUUUUGCAAGGGAAUCUCAAUCAAACCACGUUAGAUUAAUCCGUACAAAUCUCUAAAAACCAAGUUUUCACCUCGAGGGUUUUAUUGCAGUUCUCUGGGAUGUAUAAAUACGCAUUCACAUCAGUUCAGAAUUUGGACGUUGAAUAUGAUGUAAGGCGUCUUACAGCUUUACAUUACACUGUUUUUGGGUUGCCUACCCGAAGCUAAAUUGUUGACCCUGUGUAACAUGUCUUCGGUUUUGAGGUUGUCAAAUUCCCGAAUACCCCGUCCUUCAUACCUGUUCUGAAUGAAAUUUGUUCCAAAAUUGUGCUCUUUGUGGUCUUUUUUCAUUUAAAUCAAUCAAUCGUUGUCACCGACUGUAAUUUUAGUUGGUAACUCAUAGAUGAAAUGUAAUAUAACAAAGACUUUUCGAUGAAAAUGUUUUGUAUUGGUUUAUAUGCAAAUUUUGGUUAAACCACGAAAUCAAAUAUCAUAAAACAACGAAAAUUGGUAGCCACAGAAAAAAAUAAUCCACAGUAUUCAGUAUGACUCCCCCCUCCUCCAAGGGAGACAGGAAUAGAAAUAUGGUCAACAUUGGUCAUCCUCCGACAGGCAGUAAAACCCCCGCUAAAGUGUGUGGCGUCCUUUUGGCUGUGUGGGAUGUAUCAAGUACGCAGCCACGUCUGGUCAGAAUGGGGACGUUAAAUCCAAUGCCUCGUGUAAAGAGAGUGCCAAGCUCUUUGCACGUUAAAAACCCUUGCAACAACUUUUUGAGCGGUCCGUAUGUGCCCUUUUGCAAGGCUAAAUUUCUGUUCCUAUCCAGUAUACUAGUACCCUCAUUUUCCAGUGGCAGUCCAAAUUUCUCCGUCCAUCAUCCUGGACGACCUCUAUUACAGGACCUACCUAAUGUUUUUAUUGUUAAUUUGUUCUCGUCCUGAACAUGUAUGAAAUAUUUGCCACUUGACGUUGAGCAACCAACAAUCAAUCAUUAUCACACAAUCUUAAAUGUUUAAGAUUAAAUUUAUUUGAGGUCCAAAUACAUAAAAAAGGGAAAAAAACAGGACUUUCACUGUUAUUUUUGUUUGUGACCAUUCAAACCAGUAAUAUGCUUUCCUGUAUAAUGGUACUAAUAUGUAUUUUAGGUCUGAGGCAAAAUUGUUUAAUCUGAACACAUGUCUUUAUAUCUGUCUGUCUGAGGCCAUGAGCCUAAGCUUGUCAUUCGUUGUUUUUUGUCAAGUUUUAAUGUACAUUUUUAUUCAUUUGGGGAAUUUGGUAUAGGUUGCUGAUCUUUGAGGGUCUUUGUUGAAUUGUUGAAAUUCAGAGACUUUAUUUAGUCAAAUUAUGGGCUUCUGAAAGUGUAAUUUGAUAAAAGCCGUACGCGUAUUAUUACCAAGUUAUAUUUGUUUGUCAUUGGGUCGCUGUUUCAUUGCCAUAUAAACCACAUCUACUUAAUUCUCACUUGUGUUAUUCAAUUUGAAUAGAGGUAAAGAAAAAGUUAUCCACUAUACCAAACUUACCAUAUUUUAAGUCUGCUGCCUUCAUCUUAAGAAGAACCACAAAGAGUGACUGGGAAAGAGGGAUAUGAUCUUCUACCUACCGGCAGUACAAUCCUUGGCAAAGUGGAGCGUCAUUUUGGCUAUGCGGGAUGUACGCAGCCACGUCCACUCAAAAUUGGGACUUUAAAUGCGAUGCCUCAUGUCGAGUGACUGUCAUACUCUCUGCACGUUAUGAACCCUUGCAAAAACUAUUUGAGGGGUUCGAAGGUGGCCUGUUGUAAGGCAAAAUUUUUGUUCGUAUCUUAUGAAUACUCAUUUCCCAUUUGCAGUCAGAAUUCUCUUGAACUUCAUGCCAAAUGGCCUCUAUUACAUGACCUACCUAGUGUAUUUAUUAUUAAAUUGUCCUGAACAUGCACGAAAAAUUUGCCACUGGACAUUAAUCAACCAACAAUUAGUAAAUCAACUUUCCCCUAGGAAGUUAGAAUCUUUGUAAUUUAGGAAAAAAAAUGUCUUAAAUCAUAUCAAUACCGAAUCACUUCCUCCUCAUCUGAGUAAUAAAACAAUACUAUCUACAACACUGAUAUCAACCCAGUGCAGUUGAAUAAAAGUAAUGCUUUACAAAUAACUUUUGACUGAAGUGCGUACCUUUAUUUCCAUUCAUGAUAAAGCAUAUAAGAAAUGUACUGAUUACUUAGAAAUAUAGGUGGGAUGUAUAAAUACGAAUCCACGUCAUUUCAGAAUUGGGACGUUGAAUAUGAUGUAGGGUAAUGACAUGUUUACUAUAGCUUUACUUUUCAAUGUUGUUGGGGUUGCCUAUCCGAGGCAAAAAUGUUGACCCUAUGUAACAAGUCUUAGUUUUUGAGGUUGUCAAAAUCCCCAAUACCCCGUCCUUCAUACCAAAUCCCCAAUAUCCCGUCCUUCAUACCAUUCAAAUUUGUGUUGUUUAUUUUAAUCAAUCAAUCGUUGUCUCCGACUGUAAUGUUAUUUGGUAAAUCAUAGAUGAAAUGUAAUAUAACAAGACUUUGAGAUGAAGAUGUUUUCUAUUGGUUUGUAGUAAGUUUUGGUUAAACCACGAAAUCGAACAUCCUAAAUCCACGAAAAUAGGUACCUACUAAAAUAUAUAGUCUACAGUAUUCAUUAUGACACCCCCCUCAAAGGGUGACUGAGGAAUAGAAACAUGGUCACCAUUGGUCUUCCUCCGACAGGCAGUAAAUCCCUCGCCAAUUGGAGCGUCCGUUUGACUGUGCGGGAUGUAUAAAGUACGUUCUCACGUCCGGUCAGAAUGAGGACAUUAAAUCCGAUGCCUCGUGUAAAGAGAGUGCCAAGCUCUUUGCACGUUAAGAACCCUUGCAACAACUCUUUGAGGGGUCCGUAUUCAAUAUAUUCUCAUUUUCCAGUAACACCCCAAAUUUCCCCGACCUUCAUCCCGGGCAACCUCUAUUACAGGACCUACCUUAUGUAUUUUUUUGCAAAUUUAUUCUCGUCCUGAACAUGUAUGCAAUAUUUGCCACUGGACGUUAAGCAAUUAACAAUCAAUCUAAAAUGUUCAUGAUUAAAUUGAUUUGAAGGACAAAUUACAUAAAAAAGAAAAGGAAAAUCAGGACUUCCACUGUUAUUUUUUUUGUGUGACCAUUUAAACCAACAAUAAGCUCUCCGGAAUAAUUGUACUAGAAUGUAUUAUAGGUUUAAAGCAAAAUUGUUUAAUCUGAAGACAUGUAUUUAUGUCUGUCUGAGGUUACGAGCCUUAGGUUGUCAGUCGUUGUUUUUUGUCAAAUCUCAUUGUAUUUUUUUCAUUUGGGGAAUUUGGUAUAGGUUGCUCAUCCUUGAAAGUCUUUGCUGAAUUGUUUGAAUUCGGAGACUUUAUUCAGUCAAAUUUUGGGCUUAUGACAGUGUAAUUUGAAGAAAGCCGUACGCGUAUUAUUACCAAGUAAUAUGUGUGUGUCAUUGGGUCGCUGUCUCAUUGACAGAUACACCACAUCUACUUAAUUCUUACUGUUAUUAAUCAUUUUGAAUAAAGAUAAUCAGAAAGUGUUCCUAUAUACCAAACUUAUCAUUUAAGUCUGCUGCCUUCAUCUUAACAAUAACCACAAGGGUGGGAGAAUCGAGAUAAUGUCACUAAGGUCUUUAACCUACCAGCAGUACAACCCUUGGCAAAUUGGGGCGUGGUGUACAAGUACUCAGCCACGUCCACUCAGGAAGGGACGUUUAAUCCGAUGCCUAUGUAGAGAAACUGUCAUGCGCUCUCUGAACGGUAAGACCCCUUGCAAAAAAUCACUAAAUGGUCCGAAGGUGGCCUGUUCUAAGGCAAAAUGUAUGUCAGUAUCUAAUAUACACUACACUCAUUUCCCUUUGGCAGUCAAAAUUCCCCCGACCUGCAUCCCAAAUGGCCUCUAUUACAGGACCUACCUAUUGUAUUUAUUAUUACAUUAUCCUGAACAUACACGAAAUAGUUGCCACUGGACAUUAAGCAAACAACAAUCAAUCAAUCAACUAUGCCAAAGGAAUCUUUUUAAUUUAAGAAAAAAAAAGUCUUAUAAAUCAUCUCGAUACCGAAAAAACUCCUGCUCAGCUGGAGAACUACACAGUACUCUCUGCAACACUGGUAAAAACUUAGUGUAGGUAAAUAACAAUAACACUUUACAAAUGUCUUAUGUCUGAAGUACUUAUCUUUAUUUCUGGUAUAAACCCAGUGUAGGUAAAUAACAAUAACACUUUACAAAUGUCUUAUGUCUGAAGUACUUAUCUUUAUUUCUGGUAUAAACCUAGUGUAGGUAAAUAACAAUAACACUUUACAAAUGUCUUGUGUCUGAAGUACUUAUCUUUAUUUCUGGUAUAAACCUAGUGUAGGUAAAUAACACUUUACAAAUGUCUUGUAUAAACCCAGUGUAGGUCAAAAACAAUAACACUUUACAAAUGUCUUGUGUCUGAAGUACUUAUCUUUAUUUCUGGUAUAAACCCAGUGUAGGUAAAUAACAAUAACACUUUACAAAUGUCUUAUGUCUGAAGUACUUAUCUUUAUUUCUGGUAUAAACCUAGUGUAGGUAAAUACAAAUAACACUUUACAAAUGUCUUAUGUCUGAAGUACUUAUCUUUAUUUCUGGUAUAAACCCAGUGUAGGUAAAUAACAAUAACACUUUACAAAUGUCUUGUGUCUGAAGUACUUAUCUUUAUUUCUGGUAUAAACCUAGUGUAGGUAAAUAACAAUAACACUUUACAAAUGUCUUGUGUCUGAAGUACUUAUCUUUAUUUCUGGUAUAAACCUAGUGUAGGUAAAUAACAAUAACACUUUACAAAUGUCUUGUGUCUGAAGUACUUAUCUUUAUUUCUGGUAUAAACCUAGUGUAGGUAAAUAACAAUAACACUUUACAAAUGUCUUGUGUCUGAAGUACCUAUCUUUAUUUCUGGUAUAAACCUAGUGUAGGUAAAUAACAAUAACACUUUACAAAUGUCUUGUGUCUGAAGUACUUAUCUUUAUUUCCAUUCAUAAUAAAUCAUAUAAAAAAUGGACUGAUAACUAAGAAAUAUAUGAAAGGGUCGUGAUUUUUGAAAGACUUCAAUAUUUGAAUGGGGGUGGAUUUGAAAUACCAGCUGCGCUGCACGUCUGUACCCACAAUCCCAUGUUAAGACUCCCUUGGUCCUUACUACCUUUAACCUUGUUUAGCAUAUGUUGUUUUUGUAAAGAAAACAACCAUCCGAAAUUAAUGGGUCGAAAUGAAUUAAGCAGAAAAACACCGACGAUGUUGGCUAGUAGAGCGUUUUUUUUUUUUUAAAUUGGAAUUUUAAAUUGUCUCACUUUACAGUACUUGCAUUUUAAAUGUAUUCUUAAUUUGUAAUCGUCUUGAAAAUGAAUAAAAUAUGUCAUUGAACGUGAAGCAUACAACAAUUAAUCAAUUUAUCUGUUAUGAUCUUACCAGUUAGAAAACAUGUCUCUGAGGAUUGUGGUGGCAGAUGUUUUGUUUCAUUAAAAAUAUUCUUCAUGAAUAAAACCUAUUUUUUUCUGAUAGGGGGAAAAUGAAUAUUAUAAUUAUGCACAUCUUAGUACAUGAUAUCAUUCGAGACCCAACUAACCACAAUAGAGAAAUCGGUACAAAUCUCUCUGUUUAAGAGCCAAGGUUUCACCUCCAAGGGUUUUCACGUAGUUCUGUGUGAUGCUUAAAUACGCAUCCACGUCAGUUCAGAAUUAGGACGUCGAAUAUGAUGUAGGAUAAUGACAUGCUUUAUGUAGUUUUCCAUUACAACGUUUUCAUAGUGUUACCUAUCCGAAACAAAAUUGUUGGCCCUAUGUAAUGUCUUCGUUUUUGAGGUUGUCAAAAUCCCGAAUACCCCGUCCUUCAUACCAGUCGAAGACAAUUAAAUUUGUUCCAAAGUUGUGCUCUAUGUGGUGCUUUUAAUUAAAUCAUUCAAUCGUUGUCGCCGACUGUAUUAGGUAACUAAUAGAUAAAAUGCAAUAUAACCAGACUUUUAGAUGAAGGCGUCUUCAAUUGUGGAUUUCGAAGUAUGAGGUGAAGCAUCAAUUCAAAUGUUCAACGAAAUACACGUUUUCUAUUGGCUUUUAUGCAAAUUUUGGUGUAACCACGAAAUCUAAUUACAUCAAUCCAUGAAAAUUGGUACCCCCGAAAGAAAAACAAAAUCUACAGUAUUCAUUGAAAUGAUACAUUUAGAUACAAUUCUAUCUCAAUCGCUUCUAGAAGUUGAAUGAUUUUCAUUGUAACUAACAGUUUUCCUGUUUUUAAAAUGUUGAAAAAGAAGGUCUCAAUCUAAAAUUUUAAAGAUUAAACAUAAUUUGAGGUACAAAUUGCAAAAACAAGAAAGGGAAACAGGACAUUCACUGUUAUUCCAAGUUUUAUUUUGGACAAUUUAAACGAACAAUAUGCUUUCCGGAAAGAUAAUGGUUUGUUCUAUGGGAGUAAAGCAUAAUGUUUAAAUCUGAACACAUGUCUUUGUGCCUGUCUGAGGUCACGAGCCUUGUCAGUCGUUUGGCGAAUCUCAUUGUAUUUUUAUAUGGGGAAUUUGGUAUAGAUUGCUGAUCCUUGAAAGUGUUUUUUGAAAUUGAAGAGUUUAUUCCGUCACAAAGUUUUGGCUUCUGAAAGUGUAAUGUGUUGAAAAUUGUACGCGUAUUAGUAUUACGUAACAUUUGUUUUGUCAUUGGGUCGCUUUUUCAUUGACGAAUGUACCACAUCUGCUGCCUUCAUCUUAACAAAAAAUCACGAGGGUGACCGUAUAACAGAAAUAUGGCUACUUAGGUCUUCUCUUCCGACCAACAAUACAACCAUUUUCACACUUGAGCGUUAGUUUGGCUGUUCAGGAUGUACAAGUACGCAGCCACGUCUGUGGACGUUAAAUCCGAUGCCUCGUGUAGAGAGACGACUGCUACGCUUUCUGCACGAUGAGACCCCUUGUAAUGACUCUUUGAGGGUUUAGUAGGUAGCCUGUUUUAAGGCAAAAUGUCUUUUCCUUUCUUAUAUACACUCUUUUCCCAGUGGCAGUCCAAAAUUCAUCAACCUUCAUCCUAGACGGCCUCUUAUAACAGACCUACGUAUUAUUGUUUAAUUAUUUUCAUCCUGAACUAGCAUCAAAUAUUAGAAUAUAAAGUGCACUGCAUUUACAUGUAAUAUAGGUUCUAGAAAUAUAAAACCGGUUAAGAAAUACAGAUGCAAAAGGAAAAUAUGUAAACA